AUUGAACGCUGGCGGCAUGCCUUACACAUGCAAGUCGAACGGCAGCACGGGUGCUUGCACCUGGUGGCGAGUGGCGAACGGGUGAGUAAUACAUCGGAACAUGUCCUGUAGUGGGGGAUAGCCCGGCGAAAGCCGGAUUAAUACCGCAUACGAUCUACGGAUGAAAGCGGGGGACCUUCGGGCCUCGCGCUAUAGGGUUGGCCGAUGGCUGAUUAGCUAGUUGGUGGGGUAAAGGCCUACCAAGGCGACGAUCAGUAGCUGGUCUGAGAGGACGACCAGCCACACUGGGACUGAGACACGGCCCAGACUCCUACGGGAGGCAGCAGUGGGGAAUUUUUGACAAUGGGCGAAAGCCUGAUCCAGCAAUGCCGCGUGUGUGAAGAAGGCCUUCGGGUUGUAAAGCACUUUUGUCCGGAAAGAAAUCCUUGGCCCUAAUACGGUCGGGGGAUGACGGUACCGGAAGAAUAAGCACCGGCUAACUACGU
rnacentral:rRNA from 1 species